ACAUAACAUAACAUAAACAGCCUAUAUACGUCCCACUGCUGGGCACAGGCCUCCCCUCAAUCAACCGGAGGGGGUAUGGAGCAUACUCCACCACGCUGCUCCACUGCGGGUUGGUGGAGGUGUUUUUACGGCUAAUAGCCGGGACCAACGGCUUAACGUGCCCUCCGAAG